rnacentral:lncRNA from 1 species
GUGUUAGGCAAAUCCACGUGCGUCUGAUGUGACGGGACUGGACUUGACUUGACGGGCUCAGUGUGAAAUGACCCUUAGGCCACACUUGACUGAUCCUCAGUUGUUCAAAUCUUGUUUGCCUGAUUUCCAAUUUCCCCAAACCUGUUUGCCCAAUUCUCAGUUGCUCAAAUUCUAUUUGCCUAAUACUUGCUUUUGCUUGAAUCCCAUUUGCCUAAUUCCCAGUUGUUGGAAUGUUAAGUUGUUUGAUUCCUAUUUGCCUGAAUCCACCUCAUUUGAUUCAUUUUUGAUAUUUUUCUCAAUUUUAUUAGCC